AGCGAUCCCAGGAAUUGUCUUUGAUGUCAUAUCCAUUCCUCAUUGAUCUGAAAGAAAAGGCAAAACUGUUAGAAUACAAUUACAGGAGACAGCAAGAGAUUGCCAUGGAACCGGAAAGGGAAGUGAUGGUAUCCCUUAUGGAAAGGCUAUGGAUGGAACAAAUGUUCAACCCUUACAUGAAUUUGCUCCUACCCCCUCCAAUGCCUAAUCUACACCUUGAGCUCGUCGUAAAGCGGGAUGACCUCUUUGGGGGGAGAGUCCGGGAGCAACUCGCAAAGAUGUUUAGUCUCCCCAAGUCUACCCUUCAGAAACCUCUCAUGGUCUUCUUUGAAGGGGAAAGGGGUGUUGACGAGGGAGCACUGAGUAUGGUAAGUAAUUAGUAGGAUAACAGAUUGGAUAUGGUAAAAUAAUAGUGUGGUAAAGGAUAAUUGUGGUAAAAGAUUGGAUGUGGUAAUAUAUUAGUGGGGU